rnacentral:ribozyme from 1 species
UAAUUUGGAGCCAGAUGUCAACAAACAAAGCGAAACCACAACAAGUCAAGGAUGAACAGCGACUCAUUAGGCAAACUUGGUUUCAAUUUUUUUGUUAGGCAGAAAGUCGGGAUCAGCUCCGACUGUACAGAUGUAAAUUGCAGGAAACUCUGGGCAAGUCAUAGCUACCGCGGUCUUGGGGAAACCCUUGAUGCAGCAGGGAGGGUAAGAGCCUCUCGGAUGGUAAUAACGCUAUGGCAGGGUUUGAGGGGUCGUCCACCCUGAUCGUCCCACACCAGACAAUCGGCAGCCAAGCUCCCUAACUGUUCAUUCAUCAUUAGCACCGAGACUACAAAAUGACGUGGUUUCACCGUUAGUGUCAGAGCAGUGGGAUAAGGUUCAGAGACUAUAAUCGUCUGGGCGCAAGCUUAAGGAAUAGUCCAUUCCCCCCAGUGAUGGGGCUAUCGGAAGUAGGAGGGGGUAGCUCCCUUCUGAGGCACGAUAGGCGCAAAGGGUAGGGACUUCUCCCCUAAUCAAUGAAGCGUGGUAGCAAAG